CGGCGAGUGAAGCGGCAAUAGCUCAAAUUUGAAAGCUGGCCCCUUCGGGGUCCGCGUUGUAAUUUGUAGAGGAUGAUUCGGCGAGGGCUCCCGUCUAAGUCCCUUGGAACAGGGCGUCAUAGAGGGUGAGAAUCCCGUAUGUGAUGGGCUGCCUUAGCCAUGUGAAUCUCCUUCGACGAGUCGAGUUGUUUGGGAAUGCAGCUCUAAAUGGGAGGUAAAUUUCUUCUAAAGCUAAAUACCGGCCAGAGACCGAUAGCGCACAAGUAGAGUGAUCGAAAGAUGAAAAGCACUUUGGAAAGAGAGUUAAAAAGUACGUGAAAUUGUUGAAAGGGAAGCGCUUGCAGCCAGACUUGUCCGCAGUUGCUCAGCUUGUCUCCUGACAGGCGUACUCUUCUGCGGCCAGGCCAGCAUCAGUUCGGGCGGUCGGAUAAAGACCUGGGGAAUGUAGCUCCUCUCGGGGAGUGUUAUAGCCCUGGGUGCAAUGCGGCCAGCCUGGACUGAGGAUCUCGCUUCGGCUAGGAUGCUGGCGUAAUGGCUGUAAGCGGCCCGUCUUGAAACACGGACCAAGGAGUCUAACAUCUAUGCGAGUGUUUGGGUGUCAAACCCAUGCGCGUAAUGAAAGUGAACGGAGGUGGGAACCCUCACGGGUGCACCAUCGACCGAUCCUGAUGUCUUCGGAUGGAUUUGAGUAAGAGCAUAGCUGUUGGGACCCGAAAGAUGGUGAACUAUGCCUGAAUAGGGUGAAGCCAGAGGAAACUCUGGUGGAGGCUCGCAGCGGUUCUGACGUGCAAAUCGAUCGUCAAAUUUGGGUAUAGGGGCGAAAGACUAAUCGAACCAUCU
rnacentral:rRNA from 1 species